AGCGUAGGUGGCAUUCUAAGUCUGAUGUGAAAGCUCUGAGCUUAACUCAGAAAUGGCAUUAGAAACUAGUUUGCUUGAGGAUUGGAGGGGAGAUUGGAAUUCUCGGUGUAGCAGUGAAAUGCGUAGAUAUCGAGAGGAACACCAGUGGCGAAGGCGAAUCUCUGGACAAUUCCUGACACUGAUGCUCGAAAGCUAGGGGAGCAAACG
rnacentral:rRNA from 1 species